UUGGAGUGGGGCAUUACAGAAGGUUAUGUCCCCCCUCCAUUGAGAAGGAUGGAAGAUGUCCUAGUGACCUUCACACGUAUGGUCAAGGCAUUGCCACCUACAUCAAGGCAUCUAUAAACUAGUUUUAUGU
ensembl:snRNA U6atac minor spliceosomal RNA